CCCAGCGGCAGUCAGCUGCGCAGGCCUGCCCCGUGCCUGAGCCAGUGUUACUCUGCUGGGAGAUGAAGGCGCUGUCGCUGUGGCCGGGCGCUGGCAGACACUGUUUUAGUGGCUGCCGAUGCCAGGCUGCGACGGUGCCGCGCCCCUCUGAGAGUGGGCUGUGCCCCACCCAUUGGGGGCAGCCCUAGUCUGGGGGGCGAACAUU